GACGAACGCUGGCGGCGUGCUUAACACAUGCCAGUCGAACGGAAAGACCCUGCUUUUGUGGGGUGCUCGAGUGGCGAACGGGUGAGUAACACGUGAGUAACCUGCCCUUGACUUUGGGAUAACUUCAGGAAACUGGGGCUAAUACCGGAUAGGAGCUCCUGCUGCAUGGUGGGGGUUGGAAAGUUUCGGCGGUUGGGGAUGGACUCGCGGCUUAUCAGCUUGUUGGUGGGGUAGUGGCUUACCAAGGCUUUGACGGGUAGCCGGCCUGGGGGGGUGACCGGCCACAUGGGACCGGAGUGACGCCCCGACCUCCACCGGAAGGCAGGGGGGGGGAAUAUUGACCAUUGGCCGGAGGCCUGAUGCAGCAAGCCGGGUGGCGGGAGGCCGGCUUUCGGGUUGUAACCCGCUUUCGCUUGGACGGAAGGGGAGUGAACGUAAAGGGUUAAGAAGGACCGGCUAACUACGUG
rnacentral:rRNA from 1 species